rnacentral:tRNA from 1 species
AGCUCUGUGGUGAAUUUCAUAUUGAAUUGCAAAUUCAAAGAAGCAGCUUCAAUUCUGCCGGGGCUU